UACGUAGGGGGCAAGCGUUGUCCGGAAUCAUUGGGCGUAAAGAGCGCGUAGGCGGCCCUGUAAGUCCGCUGUGAAAGUCAAGGGCUCAACCCUUGAAUGCCGGUGGAUACUGCAGGGCUAGAGUCCGGAAGAGGCGAGUGGAAUUCCUGGUGUAGCGGCGAAAUGCGCAGAUAUCAAGGAGGAACACCGAUGGCGAAGGCAGCUCGCUGGGACGGUACUGACGCUGAGGCGACGAAAGCGUGGGGAGCAAACAGG
rnacentral:rRNA from 1 species